AGACCCGAAACCCGGUGAUCUAGCCAUGGGCAGGUUGAAGGUUGGGUAACACUAACUGGAGGACCGAACCGACUAAUGUUGAAAAAUUAGCGGAUGACUUGUGGCUGGGGGUGAAAGGCCAAUCAAACCGGGAGAUAGCUGGUUCUCCCCGAAAGCUAUUUAGGUAGCGCCUCGUGAAUUCAUCUCCGGGGGUAGAGCACUGUUUCGGCAAGGGGGUCAUCCCGACUUACCAACCCGAUGCAAACUGCGAAUACCGGAGAAUGUUAUCACGGGAGACACACGGCGGGUGCUAACGUCCGUCGUGAAGAGGGAAACAACCCAGACCGCCAGCUAAGGUCCCAAAGUCAUGGUUAAGUGGGAAACGAUGUGGGAAGGCCCAGACAGCCAGGAUGUUGGCUUAGAAGCAGCCAUCAUUUAAAGAAAGCGUAAUAGCUCACUGGUCGAGUCGGCCUGCGCGGAAGAUGUAACGGGGCUAAACCAUGCACCGAAGCUGCGGCAGCGACACUGUGUGUUGUUGGGUAGGGGAGCGUUCUGUAAGCCUGUGAAGGUGUGCUGUGAGGCAUGCUGGAGGUAUCAGAAGUGCGAAUGCUGACAUAAGUAACGAUAAAGCGGGUGAAAAGCCCGCUCGCCGGAAGACCAAGGGUUCCUGUCCAACGUUAAUCGGGGCAGGGUGAGUCGACCCCUAAGGCGAGGCCGAAAGGCGUAGUCGAUGGGAAACAGGUUAAUAUUCCUGUACUUGGUGUUACUGCGAAGGGGGGACGGAGAAGGCUAUGUUGGCCGGGCGACGGUUGUCCCGGUUUAAGCGUGUAGGCUGGUUUUCCAGGCAAAUCCGGAAAAUCAAGGCUGAGGCGUGAUGACGAGGCACUACGGUGCUGAAGCAACAAAUGCCCUGCUUCCAGGAAAAGCCUCUAAGCAUCAGGUAACAUCAAAUCGUACCCCAAACCGACACAGGUGGUCAGGUAGAGAAUACCAAGGCGCUUGAGAGAACUCGGGUGAAGGAACUAGGCAAAAUGGUGCCGUAACUUCGGGAGAAGGCACGCUGAUAUGUAGGUGAAGUCCCUCGCGGAUGGAGCUGAAAUCAGUCGAAGAUACCAGCUGGCUGCAACUGUUUAUUAAAAACACAGCACUGUGCAAACACGAAAGUGGACGUAUACGGUGUGACGCCUGCCCGGUGCCGGAAGGUUAAUUGAUGGGGUCAGCGCAAGCGAAGCUCUUGAUCGAAGCCCCGGUAAACGGCGGCCGUAACUAUAACGGUCCUAAGGUAGCGAAAUUCCUUGUCGGGUAAGUUCCGACCUGCACGAAUGGCGUAAUGAUGGCCAGGCUGUCUCCACCCGAGACUCAGUGAAAUUGAACUCGCUGUGAAGAUGCAGUGUACCCGCGGCAAGACGGAAAGACCCCGUGAACCUUUACUAUAGCUUGACACUGAACAUUGAGCCUUGAUGUGUAGGAUAGGUGGGAGGCUUUGAAGUGUGGACGCCAGUCUGCAUGGAGCCGACCUUGAAAUACCACCCUUUAAUGUUUGAUGUUCUAACGUGGACCCGUGAUCCGGGUUGCGGACAGUGUCUGGUGGGUAGUUUGACUGGGGCGGUCUCCUCCUAAAGAGUAACGGAGGAGCACGAAGGUUGGCUAAUCCUGGUCGGACAUCAGGAGGUUAGUGCAAUGGCAUAAGCCAGCUUGACUGCGAGCGUGACGGCGCGAGCAGGUGCGAAAGCAGGUCAUAGUGAUCCGGUGGUUCUGAAUGGAAGGGCCAUCGCUCAACGGAUAAAAGGUACUCCGGGGAUAACAGGCUGAUACCGCCCAAGAGUUCAUAUCGACGGCGGUGUUUGGCACCUCGAUGUCGGCUCAUCACAUCCUGGGGCUGAAGUAGGUCCCAAGGGUAUGGCUGUUCGCCAUUUAAAGUGGUACGCGAGCUGGGUUUAGAACGUCGUGAGACAGUUCGGUCCCUAUCUGCCGUGGGCGCUGGAGAACUGAGGGGGGCUGCUCCUAGUACGAGAGGACCGGAGUGGACGCAUCACUGGUGUUCGGGUUGUCAUGCCAAUGGCACUGCCCGGUAGCUAAAUGCGGAAGAGAUAAGUGCUGAAAGCAUCUAAGCACGAAACUUGCCCCGAGAUGAGUUCUCCCUGACCCUUUAAGGGUCCUGAAGGAACGUUGAAGACGACGACGUUGAUAGGCCGGGUGUGUAAGCGCAGCGAUGCGUUGAGCUAACCGGUACUAAUGAACCGUGAGGCUUAACCUUACAACGCCGAAGGUGUUU
rnacentral:rRNA from 4 species